AGACUAUACCAGUUUACAAAAAGUCAAUAAGAUACAAUCAUAAUCAAAUCAUACAAGGCCCAAACACAACAAUGGAUCAGACCACCAGCUAUGGUAGUUUGAAGUUAACGUGAUACUCGUCGUCUUCAACCACCGAAAUGAGAAAAGCUUGAUCUUAUCCAACAAAAGAUGAGGUGUGCCUGUUGAGCCUUUGAACAAACGAUGAUUUCUCUCUGUCCAUAUCACCCAAACACAAGUAAGCCAAAUAAGCUGCAAAAAGGACCGACGCGCUCGAGAUCCACCUGCUGAGGCUGUAAACUGGACAAAAUGAUCACGCAAAGUAGUGGAAUCCACCAAAGAAAUGCCAAUCCACGCGCGAACUAAGUCCCAAAGAGAUCCAGCAAUACUAC
rnacentral:lncRNA from 1 species